UGGUGCUGCUGCUUCUCCCAGGACCUGGACCUGGGGACCUAGGAGGUACUCUGUGUGAGGUAGGAUGAGAGGGAGGACUUCUUGAUACCUUCCAAAGGGCUCUAAAGUGAGGAGCUCCCCAUCAGGAGAAGCACACAAACCAUGGGAGCCACUUGGUUGUCUGGGGUUCAGACUCCAGCCUUCUCUGUGUCUGGAGUCUGUGACAUCAGGACCUGAAGGAGAGUCUUGGCAUCUUGGGUUCUGAGUGCGAGGUGUGGCAGUCAGAGGCUCCAUGGCAGUAUCCUGGGACCAGAUUUAAGAUACUGGGUCUCCUCUGAGACUGUCAUUCUGCCCCUGGCAGCAUCCUGGACCGUGCACUGAGGACAUGGAAGUCUGUGCUCUAGCAAGGCUGUGGGUUGGACUGGGCGAUGGCUCGUGUGCCACCGCCAUCUGGAGAACGCCAUCAAAGCUUGGAACACAGCAUCUAUCUCUAAGUGCAGCCUAGUGGAGUGUGUGGUCGGGCAGUGGUGGUGUAUAAUCUCCACUUUUAAAUACAACAAACAAGACAUUAAAGGAUUUUCCCACAGCUCA